UGAUCCGUGACAGAGCGAGCAGAGACGCCAUUUGUUUUCUGCGGGGCUCCGCCGCGGCGACUGCUGUUCACACUCGGCUCUCUGGUGGGGGAGGGAGGUCUCGAACAGCGAGCAGAGAGAAAAGAAAGCGGAAGUCACUUCGAACCGACGUGUGUUGAUGGAUGGUCUACUCGGUUUGGCUAUGGACUUACAUGAAUAAACAUAUCGGGCCGGUGUUAGCUGUGUGAACUUCAAAAGCAAACCUUUGAAUAUGACCGGCCCUCGUUCCCUCUCUUGGAGUCUACAUUUGUCAAUCAAAUGUUUGGCAGCUUAAACAAGACUGAGCGAGGCCCACACUGAAGCCAGUCUUGUUCCGGCGUUGGCUGACAAUUCAAGGCUGCCGCUGUACUGAACAGCUUGCGAGGAUUAGUAUUUCAAUGUGAAGCAGUGUUGAAAAAUGAGCACGUAUGCACGGUCAUAUUUUUGGAUGAAUAAACAUCUCAACUCUUCUGAGACGCUAUAACAGACAUGACUUCCCAACUUGUUCCGUUUUCCAUGCCAGUGCAUGGUUACUGCAAACCUAUUUUUCUGAAUGUAUCUUAGUGUUGUGGAGUAUCAGUCCAAUAUGCAAUCUCCUUUUCGGAUUUGCUCCAGAGACACUUUGGACUCAUUUUGGAGACUAAAGUACGUUCACCAGCUACUUUCUAACUUUAUCUAUCUGGGCAAGUAGUGUACAGUGUUUUUAAUUUUAGUUUUAUGAAAACAACAUUGAUGACGAUUGGUGAGUGUGAACCAAAACCAUAAAGUUUCCAGCCUCAAAAUCAAAUCCGCUAAAGAAAUGGAAGAUGCUAAAAUGCGCCGGAGAGGUGAGAGGAUCUUCAGAGUUACUCUCAAAUACAAGUAAGCAAUAAUGCGAUCUAUAGUUAAUAUAAAAAUAUAGAUUAUUAGAGAUGUCACAGCCACAGGCACUGCACUACGGUGUCAGGGCUGAUCCAGGCUUAUUUGAAAGGAUCGGUGUAAUGAAAAUCCCAUCUUCCU